rnacentral:precursor_RNA from 10 species
AGCAUUAAAGUUUUCUAAUCAAUUCGGAGACAAGGAACGGAAAUGAGCCGUUGGUUGACUUAACUUCAGCGUUUCAUACGUUCCUUAUAUUUGAAUGGUUACUGGCAUCAUGUUUAUCC